UGAGGAAUAUUGGUCAAUGGGGGAAACCCUGAACCAGCGACGCCGCGUGUGGGAUGAAGGAGCUUUGCUCUGUAAACUACUGUCGGAAGGAACGAAAAGCCCCAUUAGGGGCUGGGACGGUACCUUCAAAGGAAGGGUCGGCUAACUACGUGCCAGCAGCCGCGGUAAUACGUAGGACCCAAGCGUUGUCCGGAUUUACUGGGUGUAAAGGGUGCGCAGGCGGGCUUGUGCGUCAGAGGUUAAAUACCACGGCUCAACCGUGGAAAUGCCUUUGAUACGGCAAGUCUUGAGUGCGAGAGAGGAUGGUGGAAUUCCUGGUGUAGCGGUGAAAUGCGUAGAUAUCAGGAGGAACACCAGUGGCGAAGGCGGCCAUCUGGCUCGUAACUGACGCUCAGGCACG
rnacentral:rRNA from 1 species